CUACAGUCAUAUCGCCCUGAAUAUGCCCAAUCUCCUUGAUCUUGGCAGCUACGCAGGGUCAGGCCUGGUUAGUCCUUGGAAGGGGUGAAAUAAGAUUUCUCAUGGACACAGAGUUGCCAGAUACAGCAAAGA
ensembl:rRNA 5S_rRNA 5S ribosomal RNA